rnacentral:sRNA from 1 species
AGCACGUGCCUGGCAGCCCCUUCUCUGUGAAGGUGACAGGCGAGGGCCGGGUGAAAGAGAGCAUCACCCGCAGGCGUCGGGCUCCUUCAGUGGCCAACGUUGGUAGUCAUUGUGACCUCAGCCUGAAGAUCCCUGAAAUUAGCAUCCAGGAUAUGACAGCCCAGGUAACCAGCCCAUCGGGCAAGACCCAUGAGGCCGAGAUCGUGGAAGGGGAGAACCACACCUACUGUAUCCGCUUUGUUCCUGCUGAGAUGGGCACACACACAGUCAGCGUCAAGUACAAGGGCCAGCACGUGCCUGGGAGCCCCUUCCAGUUCACCGUGGGGCCCCUAGGGGAAGGGGGAGCCCACAAGGUCCGAGCUGGGGGCCCUGGCCUGGAGAGAGCUGAAGCUGGAGUGCCAGCCGAAUUCAGUAUCUGGACCCGGGAAGCUGGCGCCGGAGGCCUGGCCAUUGCUGUCGAGGGCCCCAGCAAGGCUGAGAUCUCUUUUGAGGACCGCAAGGACGGCUCCUGUGGUGUGGCUUAUGUGGUCCAGGAGCCAGGUACUGGGAACCCGGCUGGGGUUGGAGGAGGUGGGGCCUGAGUGUGCGUAUUGGACCCGGGGGUUGCACAGAUAGCCCUGCCUGGCACUCACCCUUCACUUUGAGGUCACAGGGCCACCCAGGCUGUUCGUGGGAGGUGGGAGGCCCAAAGGCUGA